AAAUCUACAGGUGUAAAUUUGAAAUAAUCAUGACUGUAAUUUUGAACAAAAAUACAGGUCUUUAACAGCUGUAAAAUUUCAUACAGGCUGAGCUGUGACCCGAUAACUCUACAGGAUCUAGGCCUACAGGAGCCAUGAAUUUUAAUGCAACUGUAAUAUAUGGUAAUAAUGGUAAUUGCUUCACAAGUAAGCAGGAACCGAAGCUAUAGUAGUUUCUACUAGGGAAUUUGGGAAAAAGAAGAUAGGUAUGUAGGCCUAGUGGAUCGUAAAUGGACACCUAUCACUGACGAAGUAACCAAAGUCAUACUGUAGAAUAAGUUGAUCACAACCAUGGACCAUGUGUACUCAGCUGCAGAGAUAGAACUGGGUCAAGAGGUAGAGACAGAGCUGCCCAACAGCAGUGAGAGGUAAAUGUAACAGCUGCAGUUGAAAUUUUGGAAACUCAGCAUGCUCAGAUUGAUGAAUGCACAAGCACAGGUAGUCAAUCCAUGAAAUCCAUGAGUACACAGCACCAUAAAGGCCCAAUCAACCUGGGAUAUAUCUCUAACAGAAGGGCAAGGCAAAAGUGUUUUUCAAAAAGAUUGAAGACUUAAGUCUCGGGCAAUGGCUCUUCACAACCUAUGUGGGGCGAAGGUGGAGCUCAGGGUGGCUCUGCUACCAGUAGCCUUCAGACAUGUGAAGCUGCAGACAGGCGAGAGCAGCUUCGCAUGUCAAAGAGGAACAGUUGUAUCAUCCCCUCCUCCCCAGAUACACACACCAAAGAAGAAAAAGGUGAUCAACAAUAUGCCAGGGAAGAGGCCUGCAGAGAAGGCUAUUAAGCCAGUGACGGCUGUCAACAACAAAUGCUCAGUUUGCUCAAUUAUGUUUAAUUCUAAAGCAGACAAACUUUUCAGGAAAAGUUUGAUAUAGCGGAUGGACGUCAGCGGAGGUAACUAGAGUCGCGGAUCGGGACUAGGGCAUAACUUGCCAACAACAAAAAAAAGAGAAAAUUUUAGUGUGAUGUAAAAGUAAAACAGAAUGACAAGAGAGAAGUAAGUUCAGAAUUGAAGAGAUGCAGGUCUUUAUUCUACAUGGUGAAAGAGGAAUUUUUAGUGGAUUUUUGGAUUUACCAGUGAACCCUGUGAACUGUUAGUGAAGCAGAAUAGUUACAGAUCAUAAGAGAUGCUGGUCUUUGUUCAGCAUGGUGUAUAUGGAAAAUAUAGUGGAUGGCCAGUCUAGAAAACAUUUGAUGAAUCUAUAGGACAGUGAUGAGUGUACCAGUCGAUCAGUCUAUCCCAUUCUGUCCAGUCAACAAAUUUGCAGUGGCUACAUGGAUUCUCAUGUAACUUGGUAUUACUUUUCACAGUAACAAAGACAGAUUGCAAAAGUUUCUAGAGCAAUAUAUGAGGCAGAGCUGUCAGCAGUAUGCCAGAGACACGGCAAGAAGUACCCAUUGUUUUGCACUAAUUUUUUUCCAUAUGUAUGGCCAUGAACAGAUUUUCACAGAAAAAGUAAGAAAAUGCUGAUACCAGGGCACCGCUGGACAGACUGGAAGUUUUUAUGUAUAAAGUAGACACGCGGAGUGUUAAGACAACAUCAGACUGUUUUGCCAUACAAGAUGGAUGAGGAACCAUUGAUGUGUCAGGAACCAUCCCUGCUGGAGAGGAAAACACUCUAUUGAUAGGAUAGUUAGCUGGAAAUCCUGCAAGGGUCAAACUCUGCCAUGGAAGUUUGAAAGCUGCAAUAUGGGCUUUACUGUCUGACAAAUCACAUUUACCUCUGGCUGAGUGGAGGAGAAGAGAUCAUAAAAUGACACCUCUUGAGAUGCAGGUGCUCAUAGAUUUGUAUGACCAUAACUGGAGUGCACAGUCAUACAAAAUAACGCCAGUUGCUGAGGUCCAAGUUUCCAAGAAAUGGAUAAUUUUAAGGUAAUUUGACUUAGUUAAUGACGGAGUAUUUCUGACAUGAUGUCAUUAUAUUACAACAGUUUCAGGCCCAUUGAAACCAGAGAUUACAUUUAUUGGUGAUAAUUUGACAAAGCCAGUUGUAGAGUUUUUACAUGAGACAGUUGGGGAAAGUGAGUUUACAUUUUGAUGGAACCUCGUUACAUGUAUUUCUCCAUUACAAAAGGAACUGUAGGCCUGGAAGAUUGUUUAUGCCUACAUUUAAUCACAGUGCCAUAUGUUAGUUAGUUAAUUCAUCUGUGCUAAGUACUUGGUGUCUUGAGUUAUCGCUUUUAAACAGUUCAAGGGAUUCUAAUGAAACCUUAAACAGAUUUAAAUCAUAUUGAGAAGUUGUAUGCCAUAUACCUUAGUCAGAUUUUUACAUCCAAGGUCAAGGGCACUUCAUUUAAUGUGUUUUCAUUUUUAGUUUACACUUAAUUUAUUUUAGCUCAGUUGUGGUGAAACCUUCAAGCUUAUUUGAACCACACGAGUCCGCUUCCUGGAAAAACAAGUACUGAUGUCAUAAUAAGAUGGUGUGGUCGUGACCCCAUUGGGUCUCGAACCCAUGACCCCUGGGUUGAGCAACUGACACCUUAACCAUUAUACCACCUCUCCCACUUGCCUGUCUGUUACUGAUGACCUCUCUUGUUCAGUCUACUUGUAUAAUAUAUCUGAAUAGUUCCGUUUGUGCUCUGUCUUUCACCAGUAGGUCUUUGUGCAAGCCAGACAAAAAGUUACAAAAGUCGUGUUAAAUAUUUCAUUUUUUUUUGCAGACAUUUUUGACAACCAUAUACACUGUGAAACAUUUUAUAUUUCAUUUUUGCAAGAAAACUGUUACCACACUAAUAGAUAUUAACUUGGAAGUCCUUGCUGUUCUUACGGACUAUUAGAAUAUUAGAUGUCAUAUGUCUGCAUAAAACAGCCAAGUAACACAAAAUUGUAUGGUGACAAUAUUUUAUGAUUCUGUUGUAUUUCAUAUUCGUAUCAGCUUUUUAGCUCACCUGAGCAAUGCUAUGUGAGUUAUUGUGAUUGCUCGAUGUCAGGCAUCAGUGAUAAUAUUAGCACAGUGAACUAAACAUCAUUUGAUACGGUGGCAGAUAUGAUUUUCCAUCUAGGGUAUAAAUCAGAAAUUGCUAAGCUCGACAUUGAGUCAGCAUUUCGGCUCCUGCCUAUUUGUCAAGAAGAUUUUUGUUUGUUAGGUUUAAAAGACAAUGAUGGGAAUAUUUAUAUAGAUAAGUUUUUACCAAUGGGGUGCAAAAUAUUUUGUGCGUUAUUUGAAAAGUUUUCAACCUUCUUACAAUGGCUGGUCAAAUUUGUUGCACAACGAGACACGCUGGACCAUUACCUGGAUGAUUUUAUUUUUGCUGGAGUGGGUAAUACGAGUAAUUGUAGCGAUCUUCUUUGUACAUUUUUAUCAGUGUGUAGUUUGCUUGGAGUUCCUGUUGCCGAAGAAAAAUCGGGUGGUCCGUGCACUAAGUUGAUAUUUUUAGGGCUUGAGUUGGAUUCAGUUUAUAUGAUUAUAAGAAUUCCAUUGCAUAAAGUAGAUGAAUUGCGCGAGGAUAUAAAACAGGAUCUACUGAGAGAAAAAAAGUUACAUUAAAGACGUUUCAGUCGUUAAUAGGUAAAUUGGCUUUUUGUAGUCAAGCGAUACGUUGUAGUAGGGCAUUGCGUAGAUGCUAUGACGUUAUGGCCAGUGUGAAAAAACCGUAUCUUAGGUUGCGUAUUUCGGAAGCAGUUAAACUUGAUUUAGGUAUGUGGCUAACAUGUCUGGAUAAAUUUAAUGGUGUAACUUACUAGUAUAUCCCAGCAGACACAUGGUUAGAUAGUAAUAGUUUGCAGUUAUUUACAGACAGUGCUGGGUCCUCUGAAAUGGGCUGUGG